CUUGAGAGGCUAGGUUGCGAAAAAUUACCAUGUCAUGCUAGAAUGAAUUUUAUUGAUUGGUGGGUUAUAUAUUAAUUAUUUACUGUAGAGGGAGUUUUGUGGACUAGCCUAUUAGAGGGGCACGGUAAACUCCAUUAUAUUAUUACCUCGAACGGAGAGGCGCGUAGGGUAUCUCCUGGGGUAAAGCUUAGGGUUCACUUCACGCCAAACCACCACGUGAAGGGGAACUCAGCCAAUGCCAAGGACCGGCUGUAUUUUUCUCAAACUAAAAUAUAUGUUAAGUGUAUACAAAAUUUGAACAGCCUUGACGGACUCGGUUAGAUGCCCUGCGCAAGGUAUCACCGAGUAUGAGUUUUGGCACGAGCCAAAGUUUUAAGAAAUUCUUAAGCCAAGUUGAUUACUCGAUUUUUAUGGAUUGAUUUUAUUUGGUUGAAAUGAGUUGAAAGGUAAUGAAAUUACAGUAUAAUGAUUUAUUUUAAUUAUCUCAAUUUACUCGACUUUAGAUAGUUUAGAUGGUAUUUGUUUACUCACUGAGAUUUUAUAAUCUCACCACCCUCAUUUCCUCACAUUUCAGGCUCGAGGAAUUCCAUAGUUAGCUGACUUUGACAAAGACCUUCAUUUGGACUCGAAUCGGUAAAAGCUGUAAGUUUCCAGAUUUCGAUGCAUUUUGUUAGAUGUGCGCCCACGUGUCACUGUAAAAGAAAUUUUAUACUUUGGUUAUUUGCUUUAUAGUAUAUAUAAAUAUAAUUAACUUUUACGCUAUAAGAAUUAUAUACCGAUAGUUUUAUGAAAAUUAUUUUAUAAGAAAAUAGUUUAUUUUAUUGAAUAUUUUUAUUAUAUUCAAAUGGUCAAAUUUUCACUUCAAAUGAACGUUUUAGAUAUUUAAUUUAUUUUUAAAUCAUUAAAUAUAUAUUUUCGGCUUACCUACUACAUUUUUAGCAAGUUUCGAGGUUUUCGACAAAAAUGACGAAAAUGCCCCUGUGAGCCAAAAAAAAAUAUGUUAUGUUAUGAUUUGAAAAUGAUUUGUAAUCCUUCGUAUGUUGAUAUUUGAUAACUAUUGAUCACCAGGGAAGUGCAAAAGCUGAUACGAGAGCCUUGCGAGGUUUCGAUUGACAUUCGGGGUGAAGAAUGUUUGUCGAGGCUUCGCGGCGGUUGUCAUGGGCUCGAUGGGG
rnacentral:lncRNA from 1 species